GACGAACGCUGGCGGCGUGCUUAACACAUGCAAGUCGAACGAUGAACCUCUUUCGGGAGGGGAUUAGUGGCGAACGGGUGAGUAACACGUGGGCAAUCUGCCCUGCACUCUGGGACAAGCCCUGGAAACGGGGUCUAAUACCGGAUAUUGACCUGCCAUCGCAUGGUGGUGGGUGGAAAGCUCCGGCGGUGCAGGAUGAGCCCGCGGCCUAUCAGCUUGUUGGUGGGGUGAUGGCCUACCAAGGCGACGACGGGUAGCCGGCCUGAGAGGGCGACCGGCCACACUGGGACUGAGACACGGCCCAGACUCCUACGGGAGGCAGCAGUGGGGAAUAUUGCACAAUGGGCGAAAGCCUGAUGCAGCGACGCCGCGUGAGGGAUGACGGCCUUCGGGUUGUAAACCUCUUUCAGCAGGGAAGAAGCGAAAGUGACGGUACCUGCAGAAGAAGCACCGGCUAACUACGUGCCAGCAGCCGCCGUAACAC
rnacentral:rRNA from 1 species